GCUUUAGCAAGAACAUAUUCACCCUUCAGAAAAUCCAGGAGCAGAUCAUCUUCCUUCAGCUCUUGUGAAAGCACAGGUAAUUUGGUGACCAUUAUUUAUUGUUUUUACAUCAUGAUUCAUGAGUGUGAAGUUCGUGCAAUUGUUUAAAUUGAUUGUGGUCAACCUCGAUAUUCUCAGUUGUGACUAUGAAAAAUUGUGCAACAUUUCAAUACUGGGUUUGUAUUGAAGUUAUUUGUUAUAAUAUGUGAAUUUUAAAUUCAUAUAUUAGUGACUCAAAAAUGCUUAUUGAACAAAAAAAUUCAUUGUAUAAUCUGUAAAUACUAACUACAUAUAUGCUUUUAUUGACUAUUCACAAAUUCUCCAAUAUAAUCUGAUUUGACUAUUUUCUUGCAUUCGCCCUUUCCAUUUUAAUUUCAAACAUCCUUCAUCGUGAAGGCAAUUUGUAAUGUUUAACAUGAUCACAAAAUAGGAAUACAUUCAGCGAUGUACCCAGUGGGUUUAGUAUUUCUGUUUGAAUUUCAAAGCAUUCACACAUUUCACUGUGAUUUAAGACACCGCCACUCCACUGAAGAGUGCGGGUCUAGGAAAGAUAGAAUGCAUCACAAUUCAUCUACUUAAAACUCAAAAUACUUAACAAACAAUCCUAUUUGUAAAAUUUUGGCUCAAAAAUUUUCUUUAAAAAUUUCUAACCAGCACCAUGAUUGAUAUGGUAUUUGAAUUUCAAAUUGAUCACCGUAGUGAAAAACAGAAAAAUUGAGUGAGGGUCAUAGGUGCUGCCAAACAGGGGAGGAGGUAUUGGAGUAACUUCUCCCAAUUAUAUUUUCCACAAUUGCAGUUUGGCCUUUGUACAACUAAAAAUUAAGAAUAGCAUGGAAAAGGCAUUUGGAGGUUGUCUCCCAAAAAAUCAAACCUGCCAGUACCACUGAAGGGGGGAGUGACUGUCAAAUUGUGUCCAUGUACUUCAGAUAACCAGCAUGUGGGAGGGGGGGUUAAAUAAUUGUUUUUGGACAGAGUUAUACAUUGGAGAUAUUUUUCACGUUAAAGCUGGAUAAAGCUUUUCAUUUACGCUAUUCUCUUGUUUCUUUCAAAUGUAUUGAUAGUGAAAAAGUUCGACUUUAAGCGGUAAUAAGCACUUGUCAAAUGCAUUUGUGGUAUAAACCUUUAUAGUGGAAAAAACACUACCUGAAAACGCAAAAAAUACAGAAAUAAUCUAACGACUAAAGUUUUCGACAGCACUUUUAGCGAAAAGCAGUUUACAUAACAAAACCAAAGCGAAGCAAUACUUAAAAAUUCGUACCGCGCUACGCAUUGUGGUUUUACGGGUUGACACAUAAUGACGCUGCAGCAGUUGAACCGUGGGUUGAACUAGAAGUGUCGACGUGCUGUUCAUCAUUGUAUGUACGUGAAAUGACUUGUUACUAAUGGCUUCCGAAGAAAAUGGUUCGUCCCCGUCUGGGGGACAUGGAAUAGGAGAUGUUUCUUCUAGGUCUCCUGCUGCAGCUCAAAAACCGCCACUGUUAGCGGAGCUCAAGAGACUCAGCUUUUCUGAAAGCAUGUCUUCGAGAAGGCUUCCUCGUGCAAGAAAGCGGACUAUGUCUGUAUCGUCUACGGACAGUUAUAGCUCAGCAAGUUAUUCAGACAACAGCAUCUCUUCUGAUGAAGAUGAUGGUGUCUCGCCUCGAGAAAAGCCCCAAUCAAACAGCAAUGGUUUUUCUGACUUUUGUAUCAAGAAUAUUAACCGAGCUGACUUUGGACAGCGAGAGAUAGAGAUUGCAGAACAAGAAAUGCCUGGUUUGAUUUUGCUGCGUAAAAGAAAUGCAAACGAUCGACCUCUCGAAGGAGCAAAAAUUGUUGGUUGUACUCAUGUAACUGCACAAUCAGCAGUGCUAAUCGAGAGCUUGUGUAUGCUUGGUGCGCAAGUGAGAUGGUGUGCAUGUAACAUAUAUUCCACUCAGAAUGAAGUUGCUGCAGCUUUGGCUGAAAAAGGUUAUCCUAUCUUUGCAUGGAAAGGUGAAACUGAAGAAGACUUCUGGUGGUGUAUUGAAAAAUGUAUAAAUGCUCCUGGUUGGAAUCCUAACAUGAUACUUGAUGAUGGCGGUGAUUCAACUCAUCUUAUGUAUAAGAAGUUUCCUGGGAGAUUUAGUGUUUUGAAAGGAAUUGUUGAAGAAAGUGUUACUGGUGUUCACAGGUUGUUUCAAUUGUCAAAACAAGGCAAGCUCACAGUUCCAGCAAUGAAUGUUAACGAUUCUGUUACAAAGACGAAAUUUGACAACUUGUACUGCUGUAGAGAGUCCAUUUUGGAUAGCUUGAAGAGAACAACUGAUGUAAUGUUUGGUGGGAAACAGGUGUUGGUGUGUGGCUAUGGUGAGGUCGGAAAAGGAUGUUGCGCAGCUUUAAAGGGCUUGGGGGCUGUUGUUAACGUCACCGAAAUUGAUCCAAUCUGUGGUCUGCAGGCAGCUAUGGAUGGAUUUAAAGUUGUUCGAAUUGAAGAAGUCUUAGGUCAAAUUGAUAUUCUGAUAACUGCCACAGGUAAUAAGGGCGUGGUCACACGUGACCACAUGGACCGUUUGAAAAAUGGUUGUAUAGUUUGUAAUAUGGGUCAUUCGAAUACGGAAAUUGAUGUGGCGAGUCUCAGGACAGAGGAUUUGAUCUGGGAGAAAGUUCGACCCCAGGUUGAUCAUAUCAUUUGGCCGAGCAAAAAGAGAAUUGUUUUGCUUGCUGAGAUGAGUACGUUGCUUUGCUUCAUCUUCAGACGUUCGACGCUCAUCUUACUGAAUUGACUGACGAGCAGGCGAAAUAUUUAGGUGUUGCCAAAUCUGGCCCUUAUAAACCGAAUUAUUAUAGGUAUUAAAUUCAACCAAUACAUACAAAAAAAAGUGGACGAUGGUGAAAUGGUAUUGAACUAAGGAGACGAUGGAUAUUUAUUGGACUUACUGAACGAUGUAAAGGAGACAUACAUAUGAUGUGUUCUCGUUUAAAUUCACUCGAAAUCCAGUGGUGGAUUAACCGGGGGGAAGGCGCAGGAGUGAUAAAUUUGGUGCCAAAAUUUAAUAUUCUUAUAAUUAGCUUUUAUGCAAUGAAUAAAAUGAAAGAUGUUCAGUUAUGUCUCACCAUUAAAGUUAUAGAAGCUGGUUUCUUUUGAAGCUUUGAGCUUGACUUUGUUUAGCUGCUCACCAAGCGCCCUCCCCCCUGAUAUACUCUGUUUUAUCCACUGCGCCCUCCUCCCCCUGAUAUACUCUGCUUGAUCCACCACUGGCUGGCAUAACCUCCGGUUAUUUUUCGCCAUUGUUCUUGAUAAUUAAGUAAAUUAAAAGCUACAGCUAUCUGCGGUGUUCAUAUUUAUAUACUCAAUUAUAACUAAUCAGUUUAUCAAAUGGUUCCAAUUGUGCACUAUGCUGACUCAUUUGAAAUGAGAACGAUUUCAUUUGGUUAAAUUUAGUAGAGGAGCUUUUAAAAUAAAACAAUAUAUCGUUUGUUUAA